rnacentral:lncRNA from 1 species
AGGCGUGGGUUGCAGCAAUGGAGGAAGUGGAGGGUUGUGGAGGAAGGUGAGGGUUGUGGAGGAGAGGAAGGGUUGUGGAUGAAUUUCCGAAUUUACUCUCACUUUUGACAGGAAAUUUAACAGAGUUUGACAAAAGGACUAAUGGUGCAACAAAACACCUACUUGAGUGACCUUUGCAACUAAUAAUUGAGUUGAGUGACCAAACUGUAACUAUGGGUAUAGUUGAGGGACCAUUGCUGCGAAUAACCCUUUUAAUCUUCAUAGA